rnacentral:rRNA from 1 species
UGGGGAAUAUUGGACAAUGGGGGGAACCCUGAUCCAGCCAUGCCGCGUGUGUGAAGAAGGCCUUUUGGUUGUAAAGCACUUUAAGCGAGGAGGAGGCGCUCUAGGAUAAUACCCUAGAUGCGUGGACGUUACUCGCAGAAUAAGCACCGGCUAACUCUGUGCCAGCAGCCGCGGUAAUACAGAGGGUGCGAGCGUUAAUCGGAUUUACUGGGCGUAAAGCGCGCGUAGGUGGCUAAUUAAGUCAAAUGUGAAAUCCCCGAGCUUAACUUGGGAAUUGCAUUCGAUACUGGUUAGCUAGAGUAUGGGAGAGGAUGGUAGAAUUCCAGGUGUAGCGGUGAAAUGCGUAGAGAUCUGGAGGAAUACCGAUGGCGAAGGCAGCCAUCUGGCCUAAUACUGACACUGAGGUGCGAAAGCAUGGGAAGCAAACAGGAUUAGAUACCCUGGUAGUCCAUGCCGUAAACGAUGUCUACUAGCCGUUGGGGCCUUUGAGGCUUUAGUGGCGCAGCUAACGCGAUAAGUAGACCGCCUGGGGAGUACGGUCGCAAGACUAAAACUUAAAUGAAUUGACGGGGUCAU